rnacentral:rRNA from 1 species
UACGGAGGGUGCAAGCGUUAUCCGGAUUCACUGGGUUUAAAGGGUGCGUAGGUGGGCUAGUAAGUCCGUGGUGAAAUCUCUGAGCUUAACUCGGAAACUGCCGUGGAUACUAUUAGUCUUGAAUCUCGUGGAGGUAAGCGGAAUAUGUCAUGUAGCGGUGAAAUGCUUAGAUAUGACAUAGAACACCGAUAGCGAAGGCAGCUUGCUACACGAGUAUUGACACUGAGGCACGGAAGCGUGGGGAUCAAACAGG